GAUACCGAUUAUUGGGGGACCAUUAAAGCCGAUACCGAUACCGAUUAUUGGGGGACCAUUAAAGCCGAUUACCGAUACCGAUUAUUGGGGGACCAUUAAAGCCGAUACCGAUUAUUGGGGGACCAUUAAAGCCGAUACCGAUACCGAUUAUUGGGGGACCAUUAAAGCCGAUACCGAUAAAUUGGCCGAUUUUUUAUAUUUUUUUAUUUGUAAUAAUGACAACAAUUACAACAAUACUGAAUGAACACUUAUUUUAACUUAAUAUAAUACAUCAAUAAAAUCAAUUUAGCCUCAAGUAAAUAAUGAAACAUGUUCAAUUUGGUUUAAAUAAUGCAAAAACAAAGUGUUGGAGAAGAAAGUAAAAGUGCAAUNNNNNNNNNNCACACACUGACCAUCACAACCCUCCUCUACGGUUUUAUAGAGAAGACACUUACAGAGGAACACACACUGACCAUCACAACCCUCCUCCACGGUUUUAUAGAGAAGACACUUAGAGAGGAACACACACACACACAUAUCUUUCACUCGUCCAAGCACUCUUGCUCUCACUUUAGUUUCUUUCACAGGUUUCAGUGAUCCGCUCUCUCUUCAACAGAAAAAGGUUACAUUAGCCUACCCAUUCUCUCUCUCACUUCCCUCCUCUCUCAAAUGGUAUGCAGACAAGGUCGGAUGGACACACACGGGACUGGUGUGAGCUGUUGUGAAUAUUUUAUGGAUUCCACACAAAUUAAGUUUGAGAGAGCUGCUCAUUAGUCAAUAGUCAGAUAAAAACAGUUAGCCUAAAUCCCAACAUGGAGUGUGUCCUUACAGCACACUAUCCCUCCAUCCCAUUCUCUCCUCCCAGUCUUUCCCUCUCUCCUGAGCCACCCAGCUGAUUGGACCUGGGCCAGAGUGACAGGGGAGUCUUUUGUUGAUGACUUUCUCUCUCACAUUGAGAUUGGCUGGGAUGGCUGAGACCAAAGACAAAAACCCUCAUCAUAGACCUAAAUGGCUGUGUCUGCAGCUAGACUGAAUAGGAAUCACCCUGUGUUGUGUUGUGUCUGUAACCUUCUGUUUCUACGGUAUUGGGCUGACAUUAGCUUGUGCCCUUAAGGAGUGUUCAGUCUCCAUGUCUGCUAUUUCUUACAGGGUUCAUACACAUCUUGACUGAUUAUAAAUUGCUGAGGUGUAGUCACUUGAGGAUACAAGCUCAAGUACAUAGUACAAAUAUGAUAUGAAAAUUAAUUGUGUUUUAUGACAUAGUUCCUUUUCAACAAAACUGCACGGAUAACAUAUGCUUUCUAAGUAUAGAAUAAUCAAAAUUAUAAAGCCACUAACGACAACAUUUCACCUUCCUUAUAACUGUAAAAUACAUGUGUAUGUUUAGUGUUAGAGAAAAUGUGCAUAUUUUCUAAAAGACUAAACACCUGCCCCUACCGUUGUGAAAGUCACACAGAGUUCUGGCUUGGCUCCUGAACUAAUGACACCAGAACUAAACCGGACGCCCGGCGUCAUGCACAAAUUGAUUUUGUCCCCACACCAAACACGAUCACGAUACGCAGGUUGAAAUAUCAAAACAAACUCAACCAAUUAUAUUCAUUUGGGGACAGGUCGAAAAGCAUUAAACAUUUACACCAAUUUAGCUAGCUGGCGAAUGUCUUAUUUAGCUGGCUUGUUGUUGCUGGCGAAUUUGUCCUGGGAUAUAAACGUUGAGUUGUUAUUUUACCUGAAAUGCACAAGGUCCUCUACUCCGACAAUUAAUCCACACAUAAAAACGCAGACACUCGUUGGCAAGCAGUGUGGGUGCAAUGAUUGAAUAACAUGGAUUUAUUUUGUAAUGCUCACGCACGCAACAACGGUUUAUGUAGAGUGUUAGGAACUCUCCUUUCAUCUCAUAUUAAUCACAGAAAGUGUUUUUGUUCAAAAUCAAUGAAUUAUGUUAGAUUAUAAAUCCAUUUCUGAAUGUGUUAUGUUGAUUAAACCAAGGAUCGCUGGUAUGUACUUUGUCAACGGCUGUGACGUAGGGUUCAGCCAGGAGAUGGACAGUCGAACAACACAUUUAGAAAGUUAAGAGCGACAUCCCAGCUUCAAGUGGUUUCAGAUUUCACAUUUUUUAUUAUUAUUAUUAUUAUUUUUUUUUUUUUAAUUUUUACCCCCUUUUUCUCCCCAAUUUCGUAGUAUCCAAUUGUGUAGUGGCUACUAUCUUGUCUCAUCGCUACAACUCCCGUACGGGCUCGGGAGAGACAAAGGUUGAAAGUCAUGCGUCCUCCGAUACACAACCAACCAAGCCGCUGCUUCUUUAACACAGCGCACAUCCAACCCGGAAGCCAGCCGCACCAAUGCGCCGGAGGAAACACCGUGCACCUGGCCACCUUGGCUAGCGUACACUGCGCCCAGCCCGCCACAGGAGUCGCUGGUGCGCGAUGAGACAAGGACACCCCUACCGACCAAGCCCUCCCUAACCCGGGCGACGCUAGGCCAAUUGUGCGUCGCCCCACGGACCUCCCGGCCGCGGCCGGUUACGACAGAGCCUGGGCGCGAACCCAGAGUCUCUGAUGGCACAGCUGGCGCUGCAGUACAGCGCCCUUAACCACUGCGCCACCCGGGAGGCCCUAGA
rnacentral:lncRNA from 13 species